GAUGAACGCUAGCGGGAGGCUUAACACAUGCAAGUCGAGGGGCAGCACGAGGUAGCAAUACUUUGGUGGCGACCGGCGCACGGGUGAGUAACGCGUAUGCAACCUACCCUGUACUGGGGGAUAACCCGGAGAAAUUCGGACUAAUACCCCAUAAAGAUAUUAGAAGGCAUCUUUUUAUAUUUAAAGCUCAGGCGGUACGGGAUGGGCAUGCGUAACAUUAGCUAGUUGGCAGGGUAAUGGCCUACCAAGGCAACGAUGUUUAGGGGUCCUGAGAGGGUGAUCCCCCACACUGGUACUGAGACACGGACCAGACUCCUACGGGAGGCAG
rnacentral:rRNA from 1 species